UCUCGAUAACGUAAAAGUUAACUCAAAUUUGUAUGUAGUUUGAAAGUUUGCCUACGUUUACCGCUAGGGGCGUUGUUUCAACUUCACACAAAUUUCGUUAACUUUUAUGCUAUUGA
rnacentral:pre_miRNA from 9 species